GAUGAACGCUGGCGGCGUGCCUAAUACAUGCAAGUCGAGCGAACAGAUGAGGAGCUUGCUCCUCUGACGUUAGCGGCGGACGGGUGAGUAACACGUGGAUAACCUACCUAUAAGACUGGGAUAACUUCGGGAAACCGGAGCUAAUACCGGAUAAUAUAUUGAACCGCAUGGUUCAAUAGUGAAAGACGGUUUUGCUGUCACUUAUAGAUGGAUCCGCGCCGCAUUAGCUAGUUGGUAAGGUAACGGCUUACCAAGGCAACGAUGCGUAGCCGACCUGAGAGGGUGAUCAGCCACACUGGAACUGAGACACGGUCCAGACUCCUACGGGAGGCAGCAGUAGGGAAUCUUCCGCAAUGGGCGAAAGCCUGACGGAGCAACGCCGCGUGAGUGAUGAAGGUCUUCGGAUCGUAAAACUCUGUUAUUAGGGAAGAACAAAUGUGUAAGUAACUAUGCACGUCUUGACGGUACCUAAUCAGAAAGCCCCGGCUAACUUCGUG
rnacentral:rRNA from 1 species